UACAGGGGGGGCAAGCGUUGUUCGGAAUUACUGGGCGUAAAGGGCCAGUAGGCGGCCAACUAAGUCAGACGUGAAAUCCCUCAGCUUAACUGGGGAACUGCGUCUGAUACUGGAUGGCUUGGAUUCGGGAGAGGAAUGCGGAAUUCCAGGUGUAGCGGUGAAAUGCGUAGAUAUCUGGAGGAACACCGGUGGCGAAGGCGGCAUCCUGGACCGACACUGACACUGAGGAGCGAAAGCCAGGGGAGCAAACGGG
rnacentral:rRNA from 1 species